CAGUCGCCACGGUAAUACGUAGGGUGCGAGCGUUGUCCGGAAUUAUUGGGCGUAAAGAGCUUGUAGGCGGUCUGUCGCGUCUGCUGUGAAAACCCGAGGCUCAACCUCGGGCCUGCAGUGGGUACGGGCAGACUAGAGUGCGGUAGGGGAGAACGGAACUCCUGGUGUAGCGGUGGAAUGCGCAGAUAUCAGGAAGAACACCGAUGGCGAAGGCAGUUCUCUGGGCCGUAACUGACGCUGAGAAGCGAAAGCGUGGGGAGCGAACAGGAUUAGAUACCCCCGUAGUCCCUGUCUCUUAUAU
rnacentral:rRNA from 1 species